CAUAUUUAAAUACAUCAAGGCAAUUAGCCCAUCAAAAUAUGCAAAUCCCCCUCCUUACUACAUUGCCAGUGCAGCACGGCCGCAGUCGGAGGAUAAUUUGUACACCCACUACAGCGUGCGUGUGUUUUUUAAUGACUGCCGUUUUGAAAGAGCGACCACUGCGUUUGUUUUAUUCCAACAAGAAGGCAUAUAAAGCGAGCGGGACGGAAAGAGGAAGGCAUGAAGAAGAGAAGAAGAAGUGGAACCGGGAGACUGCUGCUGCUGCUGCGUGGAAAAAACGCCCAUGCGUAAUGAGACCAUCCGCGCCGACUAUUCUAUCUUAAUUCCUCGACGCCGUUGGCUCUGGUUUCUUGGGAACAUGCAACGCCUCUGGACGAUGAAGAUGACGACCAUGACGAUUAAACAGGGUCGGCGUCGAUGAAAAUUACUAAAUGGUGAAUGGUGACAUCUAGUGGUAAACUUGGAGAAUGCGCUCUGUGGAGGAAGAGUAGUGGUUUACCAGCUUCCACGACUCGUGCAGCUUGAAUAAUCCUGACUGUUGAUAGAAAAAGAAGAAAUAUUUAAUGCAUUCGUGCAUUCGUCGUCUUAGCCCCAAUUAGUUCAUGAUUUUUAGCUUUAAAAAGUUCCCUCUGCUCUACCAAUGAAGCAAGUAGGCGGAAGGCUGGGCAAAUUAAUGCGAUUUGGAUCGAGAUGGACUUUGGUAGAUGCGCGCGCCUUGUUCUUUGUAACAGUUAAUUUUUAAUUUUCGUAAUCUCUUAAUAGUCGAUUGAUAUUUUUUCCUUUGCGUCAGUGCUCGUCUUUGAUAGACUCUGAUCUACUCAAUCGAAUCCACCCGGUCCACGAAUGACUCGAUUUCGUUAAUUGCAGCAGCGAAUUAUAUACAGCUCUGAUAAAAGCUGCAUUUUUUUUCUUAAAAAAUUAUGAAACCACUUAAAAUGAUCGUUUUAUCCGAUUUUACUUUUUAUAUGUGUUUGAGUAAAAUGAACAUUGUUCGUUUAUUCUAUAAACUACUGACAACGUGCCUCCGAAAUUCCAAGCAAAAAAUUUAGUAUUUAUUUGCAGAAAAUGAGAAAUGGUCAAAAUAACGAAAAAGAUGCAUUGCUUUCAGACGUCAAAUAAUGCGAAGGAAAAACGUUCAUAUUCAAUUAGAAAGAACAAUACUAAUGUUUUAACUCAGGAAGAGUUCAGAAAUCAUUAUUUGGAAUAACCAUGAGGAUUUCAAUGCUGUUCAGAAUGUUGAGAUUAUUUUACAUUGCAUUACAUACUUACAUGCAAAUAUGACGUGGAACAAUAAACUAUCCAUUAAAACUGCACUUGGAAUUAAUUAAUGCAAUCAUUUUGUCAGUAAUAUUUGUUGUGAUUGUACUAUUUAGCUUAUUGGAUUUUUAGCGACUUACUUUUUGUUCAUGUUUAGAUUAUUUAGAUAAAUAAUGAAUGUUUUUUUUUUUUCCUGUCUGUCAUUUUUGCUGCUUACAUCAGUUUAAUAGAAACUCAAAUAGGCCACCAGCUAAAUCUUUGCUGCGCUGCAUGCACUAUGUAGCUCGAUUUGAAGUUCGAACUAUUAUGCAAAGACUCGAAAAAUCAAACUAAAUUGCGACACGACGUUAUUUUUUAGAGCGUUCCAGCGGUUUAAUGUGACCAAUGGAAACCGAUAAGGAUUCACCAGCGAUCAACACACGAAGUAUACUGUAAAGAUAAUAAUACAUAGCGCUAUAGCGCUAUGUAUUAUUAUCUUUACCUUUAAAAAAAACAGAUUCAUGAGAAAAUGAAUCUGUUUAUGCGCUCUACUGAGCAUUUAAUAACACAACUGAGAUAAUUCCAAUGAAUUGCAAUUUAUUAGUUUACUUGACAUGAAAUAGGAUGAAUAGAAACUGAUAGAUUUUGUACUUUGCGUUUUGUCUUUAUAUGCAAGGAAUGAAAAAAGACUUAGAUAAUGUUCAAAGCAAGUGUCGUAUUUCCUUGUAGACGGAAUUUGUUCAACCCUUGUUUAUGGAGGGAUGAACAAAUAGAGACAGGGUCUAAGAUAUCUUUGUUCUGUUUUAUGUCUUUAUUUCUAAUAUUUCAUGUUUCCCUUUUUUGUCACUGACGUAGCUGUACGGUCAUCCCAUCAAUCUAAUCAGUUGUCCUGAUUGGCCCAAAUGUAUUGUAAGAUCACAAAUACGCCAUGAAGUGACGUCAACGUUGCAGGUUUUUCAUAAUGAAGCUAUUUUUCAGCUAGGCCCUUAAUUUUUUUAUUUAUCUAUUACGAAAAGAUGACUAUCGACUUAACACGGCCCUACUUUGAUGAUUUUUUUAGUUGAUUUAUUAAGUCUUUUGUUGUCUUUUUAGUGCGUUCUUUCAUCGUCAUCACAGCAGUUUUGAACAGUUCUCUUUAUUAGGCCUAUUAUAAUGUAAGCUCAAAAAGCGCCAUCCAAUGACGUCAAAAAUGGCAGAUUUUUCACAAUAAAGCCGUAGCGCAGCGAAACCUGUGAAUUUACUUAAUUUGUACAAGUCAAAAAAGUAAAAAAAAAAAAAAAAUAGGAGAAACGUAUAAGUGAAUAUUGGAAUUUUUUUAACCUAUACUGUUUUCUGACUAUAUUGAAGAUCGAAUGAGCUCUACCAGCUUCUGUGAGUUUCCAUGUGGUAAUGAAACUAAUUGUGAAUAUUGAAAUAAAGUGUGGAUUUUGCGUUUUACCACUAUUUAAUAUUAACCAUCCUUAUGACAAAGGUUAACCUAAAAUUUAUUAUAUUCUAGAUUUUAGGGAAUUGAGAGAAAAUGAGAGCUGAAGGCUCAAGUGCAUCGUGUUUUCAUUUGGUUUUCUUUUUUAAACUUUAUUUCUUGAAGGACUUCUUUGUAACAUUAUCACAUUAUUAUUAAGCAAAUCUCCGGAUUAUGCCUGUUCUAUUUUAAGCUCACAAAUGAGAAAUACAGUGAUGUGAAAAUUAUAGAUAUCCACAAUAAGAACCCAUAUGAGCUAACCUCAUUGAUUGCUUUAUUUUCAGCUAUGUGUUGAUCAUUUGAAUGAGCAAAAAACAAUGGGAACAAAUAUCGAGAUGACAUAUAUUUUCCCUGUAUAAUCGGUUAUCUUUUAUGCUUUAAUAUUUUCAUUAUUUUUAUUUAGAAUCCAAUGAGCCAAUCAUGGUUUGAGCAACAGUUUGAGCAACACAAACUGUGUUUGCUUUUUUCCAUGUACUGUUUCUUCUACCUGAUGGAGAACACGUGUCUGUUCUUUGAUUUGCCAGAGACCUUUUUCACUAAUAAAAUAUAUAACCACUGUAAUUAUAAGUGUGAGAAAAAAAAAUAUAAGUUUUUCAUUAAAUUGUUUAAUGUAUGUUUAAAUAAAAAGAAAUGCAGUCUCUCUUUCCGUUGUUGAGUGUUAAGCAGUUGACAUUGUUAUUCAGAAAAUCCCAGAGAAUACUGUCUUAUUGAUGUGUUGUUCUAAAUGGGACGAAUAACUGCUUAGACAAGCAUGUAUAGAAACAAAUCCAACACAAUAAAAUCACACUGAGUCACAUCAGGAUAACUAGGAAAGCCAGUAACUUUACUGAAAUCUCUGCAAAAUACAAAUAGCCUUUCCCUCAAGCAGAGGAGACUUGGACUCCAUCCCCACACGUUUUUUUUAUUUUUUAUUUUACUACAUACAGCUGAAACAAGUCCCUUGAGUUACAGAGAUGUGAUUUAAUUUAAAACCAUCUUAGUCUCAGGUGGCGACAAAGGCCAGCUUAUGCCGCUGAAAGCCGCUCUCUUGCGUUCCAGAAAAAAAACAAAAAAACCAAAACAAAAAACAUUACUUCCCAACUUUCUCCCAUUUUUUUCAGGUUUAUACAAGCUACAUUGAUACUAAAGACUGACUUUGAAGUAUUUUUUAUUUUUAUUUUUUAUACCAUAUUACACUUUAAAAAAAUCUUUUUUUUUCAUUUUUUUUUACGUUUUGAGCACAACUUAAAUAAACCACAAACACAGUGGAGCAACAAAGAGUCCUGUGUAAAUGCCAGGACAUUUAGCAUUUGUAAGUUAAUACACAUGGCUGUACAGGUGUAUGGUCUCCCCUUUGCACUGCAGGUUACUUUAUCAAAAAUCAGCUGAGGUACUGCUUAGGUCAAUUUUGAGGUACCGACACUUACACCAGACGUGUUCAAAUAAAAAGGCAACACUACAAAUUUUCUCCGUCUUUGGUAAAAAUUAUUAAAACUAGAGCAGGGAGUAGUGACAGGUCUGGAUGAAUUUCUUGAUUCUGAGCAAAAACCCAAUUUUUGUUUUGCUAAUAUGAACCUUUUGCAAUGCAAUACACAGGGAGAGGAAAGAAAAGAAGAGCGAUCAAACAGAGAAACUGUUCAAGCAGAUUAACAAAAAAAACCCCCAAAAAGCAAAAAAACCUGAAGCUACACCCAACUAACUAUGAUUGAAAUGUGAAAAAAACAAUUGUACAUUUGAGCAAAUUCUUUUAUUAUCUUUUUUUCAAUGCUUGCAAAAAAGAAAAUGGAUGUGAAAAUAAAAGUUGAUUUUACAAUACAGAAAUGCCACUGGCUUUGGUUUCUCCACACUUUAUGCUGCCUGAAACAUCAUAUUUAUUUAUUUUUCCAACUGUAUUUUUUUUGUUUGUUUUUUUUUGUAUUGAAGUUUUAAAAAAUAAAAGAAAGAACACCGUUACAGAGGCUCUGCCCCAUUUGACUACACAGACUGUAUACAGUAACAACAUUGUGAACCUGCAUGAAAUAUGCACACAGAAAUAGUAUAACACUUAAGUGACAGCAGAUACGGGAGUGGGAGGCAGAGAGAGAUAUGUGGCUAGUUUCAUUGUUUAAAAUCAAAAGAAGAAAAAGAAAAUCCAAAACAACUAUUUAUCUAAAAUUAACAAAUUGUGCUUUUCCCAUACCAGCAUGAUCAGUUUCUUCCUUUUUGCUGAACUGUCAAUGGCCUCAAGUGGAAAUGCAUUUUGAAGACUGGAACAUGAGCGGAGACCGCAAGGAGAAGAAUCAGCUGAGGUUGAUAAAUGAUAAUGAUAAUCAAUGGGAAUUCAUCAUGAUGCAUUUGCAAAGUUACAUUAGGUAAAUAUGAUUCGAAAGGAAACAGUCCAGUUCGGGUGAGCUUUGUCAAACAUCUAGAACACACGAUUGGAGAAGACCUGAGAUUUCAAUAUAAUGUCAAAACACUGCUUUAUGAGAUUAUUGGGAUUAAAUUAGAUCAUUUUUAAAUCCCUAUGAUUCAUCUAAAUUUAUACAAACGCAACCAGUUUCCCAUCAUAUGUAUUUUUGUGUGAGAUGAGCAGAAUACAUCGAGCCUUUUAUUUCUAUUCAUCUCCAGUUUCAGUCUUCUGACAUUUUCCACAAGCACACUGUUUUUGUGAUUUUUUUUUUUCACCAUUCAGCAUUCAGGCCCCAUCUCCUCUGUGUUGCACAAAUCCAGCUGGUUUCUAAAGUUAGUCUAAAUACAAACCCCUUCAACAGCACUGUUCAGAGUUCAAAUGAAACAAAAACCAGACAACAUGUGCAACUGCACAUAGAAACUUCACUAAGAAACAAAAAAAAAAUCAUUAUAUAUAUUCAUAUAUUAGAAAGCUAUACACAAGCAUGUUAAUUUCACAGAUUUUUUUUAAAGAUUCUUAAUAUUACCAUUAUUAUAUAUAAUAAUUAGAAAUACACGUUUAAAAACAAACCUCUACAAAGAUAAAACAGUUCAGCAAAGCAUUGGAUCUCAAUCUGUUUUUCAUGGCUUAGGGCGUGAAAGCCCAAUCAUCCCCCCAACCCUCUCUCUUUCUCUGGGUGAACUAUCCCUCUUUCAUUAGCAAAGCUAUCAAAAACACAUUCUGGCUUAUAGAAACUACAAAAAGCCACAAAAUGCUUUGCAUUGUAUUCCUUUCAUAUGAAAAUAUAAGCAAGUGUAUCGUACAAUUGUUGUUUUUUUGUCAUUUUUUUCGUCUUUUUUUUUUUUUUUUUUGUUCAUCAAUACUGAGAAGUUAAUACUAGAACCCGAGUUUUCAUGAUUACACCAAUGCAGCUCUUAGAUCAAAGGGUGGUCCUCACUCCGUCCUCUAACCAGAGUCCCAAAAAAAAAAAAAAAAAAAAAA